rnacentral:lncRNA from 1 species
GAGGCGGUCUAAAGCUGCUGAGAUCCGAAAAGCUUGGGCGCUGGCGGCGGCCAAGGCUACGGACGCGCGCAGGGCCCCCUGGCAGGAAGAUGGCGUUUGCCGUCAAGGUCACAUGGCCACUUUUGAGCACUAAAACGAAAGACUAGCUAAGAAAGAGUAGGGACGGCCAUCAUGGGGCCGGAUUUUCAGAAAGCUGUCAGGAUUCCAAGUUGUUUUUUUUCCAGUUCGCAAGCACAUUUGUCUUAGUUAUCAGCCAUAUUCUAAACACAUCGUACAGCUCUGGGAAAGGGCGGGGUCUUCCCUGGGCUUUUUUCCCCCUCUGCAAGCCUGAAAAGGGGUGGACGAAGCCUGGGCUAGAGUGGUUGGAGGAACUACAGGAGGGCAGCACUUGACAAAAUAAAAGCACCCACCCGGGUCUUGA